AACUGGCAGACACAGCUGGAGCGUCCCUGCACAGCCGGCUCUCUCCCUAUAUUUCUAGUGUCCACUCUGCCCAGAAUGUCGUGGACACCUUACUUUCUGAGCUCCAAACCGGCACUGAUCCCCGAAUCCCCCCUCCCGGAUCCCCGACAGGUGGCACGUACCUGCCUCUUCUUGGAGUAUGGACGAGUCGAACCGGGCACAAGCAUGGAGCUGCGGGUGAGUCCCGGCUGGCGCUGGCGCGGCGCAGUGAGCACCAGCUGACGAAGAGGGCUCCCCGGCCUCGGCUCCUGCCUGACUCUCUCCCACCUCCGCCGGGGGCCCAGAAGGGACCUCCCCGGGAAAUCGGCGCCACCCAGCGGGCAGCCGCCUCAUCGCGCCUGGGCCGGCAGAGCCACACCCCGCGUCUCGCGUCACUGAGUCGCGUCACGGCUAUUGGCUUGUUCCUACUGUGGCGUCAUUAGAGCCCGGCCUCCGGCUGGGGCCACCCAGGCAACCGAUAUACACAGAGAACCACGUGGAGGAAAAGCACGCGAGUUUGGAGCGGGUGGAGCAGGAACAGAGGUGGACUGGAAUGUCACACGACGGGGCAGCUGGAAGGGCACCACUGAGUUCAGUACUUCAAAAUUGCCGUGCUCUACCUCUCCCCAGUGCACAAAAACACUCUCCACACCAAGCUGCUGCUGCUGGGGGAUGGAGGGAUGGCGUCAGCGAUUCAAGACUGUUUUUCCUACCUGUUCAGCACUUCUUUCAGCGAUAUGAAGUUAAAUCCAGGCCAAGUUCCCACCUGGUGGGAAGCACUGUGCAGGUUCGUGGGGAUGCAGCCCUGCACAGCCCAGACUGGACUCCUUCCCCAUGGAACUCACAACACACGGGAGAGGCAGAGAGAUCCAAGCGCACAGAAAAACACAAGAAGAUUCAGCCCUGUCAUCUUGUGCAAAGUGAGUUCCACAUAAUUCAAUUAUAAAAUGAGAGAUUGUGUUUCUGUGAGCUUCAUAAAAAUGAAUUAUUUCUCUGUCACAAAAAGUAAAGACAGUACAAACGACA
rnacentral:lncRNA from 1 species